rnacentral:rRNA from 1 species
GGCUUGGACCAUACCACGUUGAACGCACCCCAUCUCGUCCGAUCUGGGAAGUUAAGCAACGUCGGGCGCGGUUAGUACUUGCAUGGGUGACCGGCUGGGAAUACCGCGUGCCCAAGCCG